GAUGAAGAACGCAGCGAAAUGCGAUACGUAGUGUGAAUUGCAGAAUUCAGUGAAUCAUCGAAUCUUUGAACGCACAUUGCGCCCUUUGGUAUUCCAAAGGGCAUGCCUGUUCGAGCGUCAUUUGUACCCUCAAGCUUUGCUUGGUGUUGGGCGUCUUGUCUCCAGUCCGCUGGAGACUCGCCUUAAAGUCAUUGGCAGCCGGCCUACUGGUUUCGGAGCGCAGCACAAGUCGCACUCUUUUCCAGCCAAGGUCAGCGUCCAACAAGCCUUUUUUCAACUUUUGACCUCGGAUCAGGUAGGGAUACCCGCUGAACUUAAGCAUAUCAAUAAGCGGAGGA
rnacentral:misc_RNA from 1 species